UACAGAGGCCUCGAGCGUUAGGCGGAAUCACUGGGCUUAAAGCGUGUGUAGGCGGAUGCCUAAGUACCUUGUGAAAUCCCACGGCUCACCCGUGGAACGGCUGAGUAUACUGGGUGUCUUGAGCCACUUAGGGGCUGCCGGAACAAAUGGUGGAGCGGUGAAAUGCGUAGAUAUCAUUUGGAACGCCAAUGGUGAAAACAGGCAGCUGGGAGUGUGCUGGCGCUGAGACACGAAAGCCAGGGGAGCGAACGGG
rnacentral:rRNA from 1 species